GAGGAAGGGGGCGGAAGAAGUGGAGGGGUCGUGGCUGGUGCCGCCGUGAGCUGCUGCCGCCGCCGCGGGUGCGAGCUCCGGAGAGGACUUCAUGUUGAACAUGAGCCUUGUUAUGAUCAUUGAGAAUGUGAAGUUGGCCCGUGAAUAUGCCUUACUGGGAAAUUACGACUCUGCAAUGGUCUACUACCAGGGAGUUCUUGACCAAAUGAAUAAGUAUCUGUACUCUGUGAGAGAUACCUACCUGCAGCAGAAAUGGCAGCAGGUUUGGCAGGAGAUAAGUGUGGAAGCUAAGCAUGUGAAAGAUAUAAUGAAAACACUGGAGAGUUUUAAACUAGACAAUACUCCAUUGAAAGCCUCACAACAAGAAUUACCAGCUCAUGAUGCAGAAGUCUGGUCUUUGCCAGUACCUGCUGAACGUAGACCUUCGCCAGGACCCAGGAAGCGUCAGUCUGCUCCGUGCAGUGAUUGCAGAGGCCACAAUAAUCGUGUGAGUGCAGCUGUCAGAGGCUCUCACCGUCCCUCCUCCCGGAACCCCAAUGAUAAAGGCAAGGCAGUCCGCAGCCGGGAAAAAAAAGAUCAGCAAAAUAAAGGAAAAGAGGAAAAGAACAAAUCCACAUCUGAGAUUUCAGAGUCUGAACCAAAGAAAUUUGAUAGUACUGGAUAUGAUAAAGAUUUAGUAGAAGCUUUGGAAAGAGAUAUAAUUUCUCAGAAUCCCAACAUCCGAUGGGAUGACAUUGCUGAUUUAGUAGAAGCCAAAAAGCUGCUUAAGGAAGCUGUAGUUUUACCAAUGUGGAUGCCAGAGUUUUUCAAGGGGAUUAGAAGACCCUGGAAGGGUGUGCUGAUGGUUGGUCCUCCUGGUACUGGAAAGACUCUCCUAGCAAAAGCUGUAGCCACUGAAUGCAAGACAACUUUUUUCAACGUUUCUUCUUCCACACUUACCUCAAAAUACCGAGGAGAAUCUGAGAAACUUGUUCGUCUGCUGUUUGAAAUGGCUCGAUUUUAUGCCCCAACAACCAUAUUUAUUGAUGAGAUAGACUCCAUCUGUAGCCGCAGGGGAACUUCAGAGGAGCAUGAAGCCAGCCGACGUGUGAAGGCAGAACUGCUAGUUCAAAUGGAUGGUGUUGGGGGGGCUACUGAAAAUGAUGAUCCUUCUAAGAUGGUCAUGGUACUUGCUGCUACUAAUUUUCCUUGGGAUAUUGAUGAAGCCCUAAGACGGAGACUAGAAAAGAGAAUUUACAUUCCUUUACCAUCAGCCAAAGGUAGAGAGGAACUCCUAAAAAUAAAUCUGCGAGAGCUGGAACUGGCUGAUGAUGUUGACCUUGCAAACAUAGCUGAGAAAAUGGAAGGUUAUUCAGGUGCAGACAUUACCAAUGUAUGCAGGGAAGGAGAGGACUGAUCUGUUAAGAGACAAGUGUCAGUUGUCCUGUUUACGUCAAGACUUGCACCGGCACAGCUGUGGCAGUGGCAAGCUCUGAGACCUGCAGUACGGGACAGAGAGCUGAAGCUGCUUGACAUGAUGCUGUUGUCAUCUGAUGAGCACCUGUGUAACGCUGCUUUCAGGCUUUGGAGGUGGCACGGAAGUGUGGCAGGGCAAGGCUUGAGCUCUUAGUUGUUCCAGCCCAGUCUGUCAGCUUUGAGCAGGAUGAGAGCUGGAGUAAAAGCACCUCCUGGCUACUCCCUCAAACUCAGAUCCGUUUCUUGCCUGGAUUCCUGACACGGCUCUGCAGACACGUGUCAGCACAGCUGAGAGGGCAAUGUGCUGUCCCACAGGGAUGAAAGCAAGCAGCCAGUACACAAAGCUGCCACCAAAGGCUCUGUCAGCAGGGUCACCGCAGGCUGAGCCAAAAGUAUGGAGCCUCAGUAGAGUUUCCUGAACAAACCUUGCACAGUGUCUGGGAAAAUAAUGAGAUGCAUCAUUGAUGGCUAUGAGGAGGCGUAUUGAAGGCUUGACACCAGAAGAAAUCAGAAAUCUUCCCCGAGAUGAAAUGCACAUGCCAACAACUAUGGAAGACUUUGAAAUAGCUUUGAAGAAAGUUUCUAAAUCUGUUUCUGCUGCAGACAUUGAGAAAUACGAGAAA